CAGCUAUCGCUCGAAGAGUCGGUCCUGGCCGGCGCAUCAGCUUAGUUGGUGGGGUAACGGCCUACCAAGGCGAAGACGCGUAGCUGGUCUGAGAGGAUGAUCAGCCACACUGGCACUGAAACACGGGCCAGACUCCUACGGGAGGCAGCAGUGGGGAAUAUUGGACAAUGGGCGCAAGCCUGAUCCAGCCACGCCGCGUGAGUGAUGAAGGCCUUCGGGUUGUAAAGCUCUGUGGGGAGGGGCGAAAACGGCCGGUAAGAAACGACCGGUCCUUGACGGUACCUCCUUAGCAAGCACCGGCUAACUCUGUG
rnacentral:rRNA from 1 species